rnacentral:ribozyme from 1 species
AAAUUGUUAAUUUUUUUUGUUUAUAAAAAAAAAAAAAAAAAAAAAAAA